rnacentral:rRNA from 1 species
ACACUGACGUCGCGACGCAUAUCAAUAAGCGGAGGAAAAGAAACUAACUAGGAUUCCCUUAGUAACGGCGAGUGAAGCGGGAAGAGCUCAAAUUUGAAAUCUUCAAGGUUUACCUUGACGAAUUGUAGUUUAAAGAAGUGUUUUCUGUUGGAUGUUUUGGUAAAAGUUCUUUGGAAUAGGACAUCAUAGAGGGUGAGAAUCCCGUAUUUGGUCAUUCCUUCUAGCUUUGUGAUACACUUUCAAAGAGUCGGAUUGUUUGGGAAUGCAGUCCAAAAUGGGUGGUAAAUUUCAUCUAAAGCUAAAUAUUGGCGAGAGACCGAUAGCGAACAAGUACCGUGAGGGAAAGAUGAAAAGAACUUUGAAAAGAGAGUUAAACAGUACGUGAAAUUGUCAAAAGGGAAGCGUUUGACACCAGUGUUGUUUUUCCGAAAAUCAAUUACGAAUGGCUUGAUUUUGUGUUGUAUUGACCUUAUCAGCUUUCUUCACUUUUUUCGAGUCUUUCUUAAUGCACUUUUCGGUUAACAAGUCAACAUCAAUUUCUUUUGUUGUAAAAGAGUAUUCGGAAGGUGGCUUUCUUUUCGGAGAAAGUGUUUAUAGCCCUAUACUUCUACAAUCGGAGAGAUUGAGGUCUGCAGCGUAGAUCCUUCGGGGUUAGAUACAUUUGUGCUAAGUUGUAGCUUUUCAUAGACAACUUGUUGACUAUGUUUAGUCAUGCGGCUUACUCGCUUGUGCUAUUUUACCUACGCUUAGGAUGUUGAGUCGUAGAGCACGCAG